rnacentral:lncRNA from 1 species
CCAUAAUGUACAAAAUAAUAUGGUUACAACAUUUUCUUCUAGGGACAAACAUGAUCCCAAGUUCAGCUCCACAGGAAGUUGACAAGCAUGAGAAACAACAGGGCAAAGGUGUUCCAGAAAGGCAAGCCAAACACAUUUACAAAAGAGCCCUUCCAAAAUAAAGACAGACUGAAAGGAAAGCAGGCGGCUAUUCUAAGAUUCUUAUCUGGAACAUCAGCGGGAACUCCAGACUUGGACCAAAGGCAGUUCACGACCUUUGUAGAAUUGCUUCAGACUCUUAAAAAAGGACAGUCCAGAUUUGCUUUUUCAUCCUGUAUGCCUUUUUCCUCUCUUGCUGCAGAGCUGGGUCAACAGGAAGCUCUAAAGCAGGGGAUGAGGCCAUGGACGUCCCUGAAAAUGUGCCUCCUCUCUCUGCAGAGAUCAGGAUCAUCCUGGUCUCAGCUCAGCACCUGGAGUGAAGAGUACUCCCAGCAGAGCCAGAGCGGUGAGCCCACCCCGUUGCCCACUUCUGCGUGUCCACCCAGACUUAAGAGUGUUGGUUCCACUCAGUGCCACCUGGGAGGGACAUGGUGCAUCCUUGCAACUGAAGGCUUCUUUACGGCAUCCACAGGAGACCUGGACGCCUAUUAUACCAGAAGACCCCUUUCCCUUUGCGGAUGAGGAG